CGAUCAAGUGCUUGGAGAAUUAAUAGAGACCAUUUUGCUAAAGUAGGAAAGCAAGAAUUUACUUGCUAAGUUGGUUAGUAAGAAGAACUAAUUUGUAAAAUUGUAGAGUUAAUGCAAUUGUUGCAUGCGGUGCACUUGCGCUGAAGUUACUAAAAAGAGUUUACUAUCUUUCUCUCAUCAACUCCUCAAUUAAUAAAGAUUAAUU
rnacentral:lncRNA from 1 species